CCGAGUCAUGUCCCCCGUCCGUCCUCGUGUCGUCCGUCCGUUCCCCCCCCCCCCCCGCCCGCCUUCCCCGGGGUUGCGGGGCGCCGCGAGACCCCGCCGCAGUGUUUGCGGGCGAAGGGCCCCGCAGCCCCGCGCGCCGGUCCAGCAGCGCCCGCCACACGUGCGGCCCCGGCCCCCGGGCGCGCAGCCACGCAAAAACUAGUAACAACGUUAACAGCAGCAACAACAAAUAUGUAAGAGAUCAGGGGUGCGCUACGGAGUCUGAAGUUUCCUGGGGAAAUAGCGGAAUGUGGGAGCAGCCGCGAGGAAAGACUGCCGAGCGCCCCGCAAGCCGCCGGCCCGGCGGGCUGCGAGGACCGGUCCCGCGGCCCCGGGACGCCCACCCGCCCGGCGACCCACCGACGGACGGAGGGACGUACCGGCAGUCAGGCACACGGGCAGGAGCAGCCGGAAGGUUUCAGCAGCACAUUUAGGGCCACAAGAAAAUUGGCGCCUGGAAAAAAACAGAUCUUCGGUCGCUGGAAUGCAUUUGACUUUUCUGGAAAGCUUUUUACCCUUUAAAACACAGUGCUGGUUAGAAAGUGCUGUGGGUUUAAAGGGGCAGUUUCAAAGCUCAGCUGGUGCAUCCCUGGGUGUCUGCUGAAUACACCUAAUCAUUGGGGUUGAAAUAGUGACACUGUGAAAUAGAAAGUUGUUAAUGUUGUUAUUCAUACAAGCAAAUGUCCAUUUAAACUUCGGCAAUAUAUUGCAGUCCCUCCCACUUAAAUGAGGCACAUUUGGACAGAAAAUCCACGCCGUGGGGGCAGUGCUGGAGAUAACUCUUCAACCUCGUGAAAGAUCUGGAGAAAGUGGGAGCAGUGACCCUGGGGUCCUUAACAUCCAUUCUCAGUGUUUCCUCCUGGUGAAGGACCUCAUCCAGUCUUACUUCAAACCUACUAAGACUUAGAGUUGCUCUUGAAGUCCUGGCCUGUUAAUUUUUAUAAUUGCUGAAGCAUCCUGUGCUUUGAUGUGCUUUUAAAAAAAAUAAAUUAGUAAUAAUUUGUA